rnacentral:tRNA from 1 species
GGGAAGGUGGCUCAGUGGUAGAGUGCUUGCCUCGCAUGCAUGAGGCCUGGAGUUCAAUUCCUCAGUACCA